GCUGAAGAUAAAUAUAAGGGCCUUUAAUUAUUUACCUGUCAAAAUCAAGAAGAAAAGAGGAAAUGACAGUGUGCAUUUCUGUGACAAUAGACAAGAACAGCUCAAGGACAGAACUACAUACAUUUAAAUACACAGAAUAAAUGCAUUGAAAGCGUUUCUGUGAAGCUUUGUGAUCGACAAGGACAAGUUUGAUGUCGGACAACAAUAGAAUGUUCAUGAUUUAAUGGGCCAAAGAUGGUAAGGUGAAAGGCACCGUUUAUACUGAGGGGUUGGUGGGACUUCUAAAUACAUUACCACUAUCAUGACUAGGUCGGUUGGUGGGACUUCUAAAUACAUUACCACAAUCAUGUCUAGGUCGGUUGUCAGGACUUCUAAAUACAUUACCACAAUCAUGUCUAGGUCGGUUGUCAGGACUUCUAAAUACAUUACCACUAUCAUGACUAGGUCGGUUGUCAGGACUUCUAAAUACAUUACCACAAUCAUGUCUAGGUCGGUUGUCAGGACUUCUAAAUACAUUACCACAAUCAUGACUAGGUCGGUUGGCAGGACUUCUAAAUACAUUACCACAAUCAUGUCUAGGUCGGUUGUCAGGACUUCUAAAUGCAUUACCACAAUCAUGACU
ensembl:lncRNA